CGUAACAAGGUUUCCGUAGGUGAACCUGCGGAAGGAUCAUUACCUAGAGUUGUAGGCUUUGCCUGCUAUCUCUUACCCAUGUCUUUUGAGUACCUUCGUUUCCUCGGCGGGUCCGCCCGCCGAUUGGACAAUUUAAACCAUUUGCAGUUGCAAUCAGCGUCUGAACAAACUUAAUAGUUACAACUUUCAACAACGGAUCUCUUGGUUCUGGCAUCGAUGAAGAACGCAGCGAAAUGCGAUAAGUAGUGUGAAUUGCAGAAUUCAGUGAAUCAUCGAAUCUUUGAACGCACAUUGCGCCCCUUGGUAUUCCAUGGGGCAUGCCUGUUCGAGCGUCAUUUGUACCUUCAAGCUCUGCUUGGUGUUGGGUGUUUGUCUCGCCUCUGCGCGCAGACUCGCCUCAAAACAAUUAGCAGCCGGCGUAUCGAUUUCGGAGCGCAGUACAUCUCGCGCUUUGCACUCACAACGACGACGUCCAAAAGUACAUUUUUACACUCUUGACCUCGGAUCAGGUAGGGAUACCCGCUGAACUUAAGCAUAUCA
rnacentral:rRNA from 1 species